CGGUUGAUCCUGCCGGACCCCACUGCUAUCGGGAUGGGACUAAGCCAUGCAAGUCUGCGCCUCUCAGCUACGGGAGAGGCGUGGCGCACGGCUCAGUAACACGUGGCUAACCUACCCUUAGGACGGGGAUAACCCCGGAAACUGGGGCUAAUCCCCGAUAGGGGAGGAGGCCUGGAAUGGUUCCUCCCCGAAAGGACACUGGAACCAUGCUUCCAGUGUCGCCUAAGGAUGGGGCCGCGGCCGAUCAGGUAGUUGGUGAGGUAACGGCUCACCAAGCCUAUAACCGGUACGGGCCGUGAGAGCGGGAGCCCGGAGAUGGGCACUGAGACAAGGGCCCAGGCCCUACGGGGCGCAGCAGGCGCGAAACCUCCGCAAUGCGCGCAAGCGCGACGGGGCCAUCCCGAGUGCCGCUCGCUGAGGGCGGCUUUUCUCCGGUGUAAGUAGCCGGAGGAAUAAGGAGAGGGCAAGUCUGGUGUCAGCCGCCGCGGUAAUACCAGCUCUCCGAGUGGUGGGGACGAUUAUUGGGCCUAAAGCGUCCGUAGCCGGCUUGACAAGUCUCCCGUUAAAUCCAGCGGCCUAACCGCUGGGCUGCGGGAGAUACUGUCAAGCUUGGGGGCGGGAGAGGCCGGCGGUAUUCCCGGGGUAGGGGUGAAAU
rnacentral:rRNA from 1 species